GCCUCUAAAUUUUGCUUUUUGGUGGGAAAAUCCCGUCUGCUUUUUUCCUUAAUUUUGAAGCCCCGAAUUAGUCUACCCGACCCACUAAAUCGGAUCCUAUAAUACCCUUCUUUUUUCUCAUUCCGCUUCUCACUGUUCAUAUUGUUUCUCUGAAACCCUAACUACACUCCCUUUCUCUGAAACCCUAACUACAGCCGCCUUCAACAAUCUUCGUAUCAUCAUCAUCGUUCAAUCCCAGAUCUUCAUCAUCCUUUUUUUAAACCCUAGCUGUCAACACCGUCUUUUUUCAUCUUCUUGUGAGGUUUUUUCUACACAGAUCUAAAACGCUGGUUUAAUUUGAUCCAAGGCAGCACAACGGCAUCAAUCACAAUGGAGUGGUAUCUUCGAUUAGGGUUAUUAGUGGCCGGAAUUAGGUUAAGGAUGCGACUUUUGGCCAGAAUCCUCUUCAGGAUGCGAUUUUUCGCUUGAUUAGAGGAGAGAGAGAGAGAGAAAGGCACACAGGGCGGGUCAAGAAACUCAUAAUGGGUAGUCUACGAUCUUCUCUCCUCAUCUUCUCACAUCGUGAGGUUUCAGGUUUGUCUUUUUUUAAUCCAGUCAUUCAUGAAUCUCUGUAUAGAGGGUAAAAUGAAAUUAGGUUGAACAUAAUAUUUAAUUUAUAAAAAAAUGUUAUUGAAGAAGUUGGAUCUUGAAUGUGUUAAAGCUAUUACUAUUUGUGUGUUGAGAGGAAUUUGUAAAUAAUGAGCAUAAUUAUGAACAUGCUUUGAGUUAGGUAACACGUGAUUUGGUGUUCAAUGGAAUAUUAACAGAUGUCCACUGCGAUGUUAGUGGAUCAAAUUCAUUGCUAGAUCUUGGUGCAGAAUUCAAAUGCUAUAUUUUCUCAAAGUAGUUGCCAUUGGUAAAUCAACUAACUCAUUUAAUCGAUGAAUUCAAUAGAAAACAAAACAAAAAUAAAUACUAAAUGUCUAAUGUGCUGAUGUUACUUUGGGUGAUGCAUUUUCAUAUGCUCUUAUCUAUGUUGCUUUACUCUUUAUUGCGAUGUAAAAUUAUGCUCAAAUCUGGAUAGGCGAUUGUUGACGAAGGUGGAAGCGGUGUGAUUACUGAUUCCUUUGAACAGUUUACGGGAAGUAGCAACCUCAGCUACUUUGAUAAGGUAUGAUUCUUUAUCUGGCUUCAUAUUCUAUGGUUUCCCACUUUCCCUUGGCAAAAAUGUUUUAAAAGUUAUAACAAAUUAAAAGGCCAAUGCAAGUUAGAGCCAGCCAUUUUGACCCAUUUAUUCCGGUUGUGAUUUAUCUCAAAACAAAUAAAAAAACAAUUAGACUACAAGGGAACGGGCCAGCUCUAACUUGCAUUAGCCUUUUAAUUUGUUAUAACUUUUAUAACAUUUAUAUGGUUUUAAAAGAGGUUACAUAACUGAUAUUGUUAAAAUAUAAAUUUACUUAUUUUGAAGCGAAACCGUAUUAGUUUAGAUACAUGUUUACCGAAUAGACAACUCUAAACCCGCUUUCUAAGUAUAUAUCCUCAAACGGGUUUCAAAGUGGCGCAUUGCAUCGGAAUUGAACGGCUAUCACUAAACUUGAUUCAUAUUGGAUCCGAAAACAUUUAUGAUGAUGAACCAGUUCAGAUGUGCACCUGUAGCUAUGCAUCUGGUCUUUUAUGUUUAUAUAUUGUAAAGUCUUGUAUUCAAGUUGAAGUGAAAAUAUUGUAUUUGGUUUUAGAAGUUAAACGAGGAAAACAAAAUUCAUGUAAAAUUAAUAUAACUAAAAAAUCAAAUAACUAAAGGAUUUUAAGUGUUGUUCGUUGUUAGAACAAAAUGACAAUGCUGAAAAACACAAUGUUUAGUUGUUUGGUUGAAUGAAUGGAAGGUAGAAGAAAGGAUCGAGCCCAGGUCACAAACUUAAAAGCGACGAGACCUGGCUAGCCAAGGUAAGCACCUCUUUAUGGUUCCACAUGGAAUUUAAUUUAAUUUAUUUAACAAAUAAAAAAGGUAUUGUUCAUAUUGCAUACCAUUGAAUUCUAUGAUUUUCAAAGAAGUUAUUGCUAGGAUGUCUUCAGGGAUGAGCUCGGUAUCAAUCGGUACCGAAAAUACCGGUACCGAAAAUCCCAAAAAAUGGGUACCGGUACCAAAAAUACCCGGUACAGUUCGGUACUGGUACUGGUAAGGACCGGUAUGUGAAGGUAAAUACCGGUACUGAAAACACUAAAUGUCGGUACCAAAUCGGUACUGAAAAUCAAGUCGGUUCAGGAAUGUUUCCUUUCUUGACAUGAUCAGGUAGCGUAGAGGAUUGGGCAGGCUAGAAGCUUUUAUUCAACUGUCUUCUCCAUAUUUUUUAUUAUUGAGCUAUUUUGUGCUUUCAGUUUCAAAACUAUUGGUUUAUAUUAAUUCUUAAAAGAAUCGAGAUAAAAGUAGAAUUUGUGUUAAAAAAUAUUAGGAAAACAUAUACUGAUCACAAUUUUUUUCGUUUUAGUUUGUUCUUAAAUAUUUUUUUUAGUUUUAUUAGUGAUUGUAUAAGAUUGUUUAUAAUUUUAUGUGAAAUUCUUCAAGUCUAUGACAGUUUAUUUGAAAGCUCACAUCCAAACACCUAAAAAUGAUCAAAGUUUUCAAAUUAAAGUAUACGUACUUUGUACUUUAUGAAUUAUGAUCUCAAUCAUAAAUGUGUUUGGAACAUGUGUUAUCCAUUUUUAAUGUAAUUAUGGUGUUGCUCUAUUCUUGAUGAUUUUUGUUAUCAUGUAGGCAGGUCGUAAGAAAAUUCGAAUUUGAAGAAGUUGAGUAACAUGCCAUGGAUCUUUUUUGGAACGAGUUAUUGUGGAAGGUGUUCUAGCUUGGCGGUUUUCGUUCGUCUAUACUUUAAUUUGAAUUUCUAAGUCGUUUUGUCAUUAUUUUUCUUAUUCAGUACAUUCGCCAAUGUUGCACAAAGGAUUUGAAUAGUGAACAAAGUUUGGAAAGGUAGAGUAUUCGUAGGUCGGAAAGGAGUAACAAGUCGCUAUCGGGGUCGGUUUCCAUACACUCGGAUUUAGAAAACGAUGAUUUGAAGAAACCAUAUGCGAUAUGAUUUUUAGAUGAAAAAGCUUUCUGGGUCAUCAUAGUUGAUUCUUCACUUCAAAUGUACCAUUGUUCUGUUGUAAAUGCAAAUAGACAUAUCCUUUUUACUUUUUUUUGUUGACUAACUUAAUGAAGGUUUGUAAUCGGUUGGUGUGAUUUGAUAAGAGGCGAAAGCAUGUCAAUUUGUGAUUA